rnacentral:rRNA from 1 species
UACGUAGGGUGCGAGCGUUAAUCGGAAUUACUGGGCGUAAAGCGUGCGCAGGCGGCCCUGCAAGUCAGACGUGAAAUCCCCGAGCUUAACUUGGGAAUGGCGUUUGAAACUACGGGGCUGGAGUGUGGCAGAGGGAGGUAGAAUUCCACGUGUAGCGGUGAAAUGCGUAGAUAUGUGGAGGAAUACCGAUGGCGAAGGCAGCCUCCUGGGCCAACACUGACGCUCAUGCACGAAAGCGUGGGGAGCAAACAGG